GUGGGGAAUCUUCCACAAUGGACGAAAGUCUGAUGGAGCAACGCCGCGUGAGUGAAGAAGGGUUUCGGCUCGUAAAGCUCUGUUGUCGGGGACGAAUGUGCAGUAUUUGAAUAAAGUAUUGCAAUGACGGUACCUGACGAGGAAGCCACGGCUAACUACGUGCCAGCAGCCGCGGUAAUACGUAGGUGGCAAGCGUUGUCCGGAAUUAUUGGGCGUAAAGGGAGCGAAGGCGGGAAGGUAAGUCGGUCUUAAAAGUGCGGGGCUCAACCCCGUGAUGGGAUCGAAACUAUCUUUCUUGAGUGCAGGAGAGGAAAGUGGAAUUCCUAGUGUAGCGGUGAAAUGCGUAGAUAUUAGGAGGAACACCAGUGGCGAAGGCGACUUUCUGGACUGUAACUGACGCUGAGGCUCGAAAGCCAGGGGAGCGAACGGGAUUAGAUACCCUGGUAGUCC
rnacentral:rRNA from 1 species